rnacentral:rRNA from 1 species
AUGCAGAUACUCGAGUUUCCAAACAAAACACAGAGCAAGGAAUUGCACAUACCUUCCCUUGGCCUUGCUCUCGUGCUGCUGAUCUCCUUGGCCUGUCCAACCAGUUCCUGCACGGAGCAUGAGAAGACCUCCCUUCGCCGGUUCCUUGCUGGGCUCUCGCGUGACGGCGGCCUCGCUACCUUAUGGCAGGAUGGCACCGAUUGCUGCAAGUGGAGAGGGAUCACCUGCAGGCAAGAUAGCAUGAUCACCAAUAUCAUGCUGGCUUCAAAAGGCCUUGAGGGGCACAUCUCGGGGUCCCUUGGAAACCUCCCCGUGCUGCAGUACCUCAACCUCUCUCACAACUCGCUGUCCGGUGGUCUGCCGUUGGAAUUGGUGUCGUCCAGCAGCAUUACCAUACUUGAUGUCAGCUUUAACCAGCUCAAUGGAAGACUCCACGAGCUGGCAUCUCCAACCCCUGCCCGGCCUCUCCAGGUACUCAACAUCUCGAGCAACUUAUUUGCUGGACAGUUUCCAUCCACCACAUGGGAAGCAAUGGAGAAUCUGAGAGCACUCAAUGCCAGUAACAACAGCUUUACAGGGCACAUACCAACUUAUUUCUGUAUCAGCUCACCGUCCUUCGCUGUGCUUGACCUGUGUUUAAACAAAUUGAGUGGCAAAAUCCCCCGACAAAUUGGUCAUUGCUCCAAGCUGAGAGAGCUCAGGGCCGGGUACAACAACAUCAGUGGAGAAAUCCCAGAUGAACUCUUCAAUGCAACUUUGUUGGAAUACCUGUCUUUUCGUAAUAAUCAUUUAAAUGGAGUUCUUGAUGGUGUGCACAUAACCAAGCUCAGAAAUCUAGUAGCACUUGAUCUUGGAGGGAACAACUUCAGUGGUGAGAUUCCAGACUCCAUCGGCCAGCUCAAGAAACUGGAGGAGUUCCAUCUGGACAACAACAAUUUGUCAGGGGAGCUGCCAUCAGCUCUAAGCAACUGCACGAAUAUCGUAGCAAUUGAUCUCAAGAAAAACAAUUUCAGUGGACAGCUCGGCAAGGUCAAUUUCUCCAACCUGCCAAAUCUAAAGACAUUAGAUGUUUACUUCAACAACUUCACCGGCACAGUUCCAGAAAGCAUAUACUCUUGCAUCAAUCUGACUGCACUGCGGCUAGCUGAGAACAACUUCAGUGGGGAGCUGUCACCACAAAUGGGCAAGCUGAUGUACCUCACCUUCAUCUCAAUUACAAACAAUCAUUUCAAUAACAUCACAAAUACACUUCACAUCCUUAAGAACUGCCGGAACCUUACCACCCUGCUUAUGGCUCUCAACUUCAGGGGAGAGAUCAUGCCAGAGGAUGACAAAAUUGAUGGUUUUGUGAAUCUUCAGGUUUUGGGCAUCUCGGGAUGUUACUUGACUGGAAACAUACCUGUUUGGAUAUCGAGCCUUGCAAAUUUAGAGCUGUUAGACUUACAUCAAAACCAACUCAAUGGAUCAAUACCAGCUUGGAUUGAAACCCUAAGCAAACUCUUUUACCUAGAUAUAUCAAACAACAGACUCACAGGGAGAAUUCCAACAGCACUGAUGAAUAUGCCAAUGCUAAUGUCAUGGACUGAAACCCAGCUAGACCCAAGUGUCUUUGAGUUGCCUGUUUAUACAGAUCCAUCACUUCAAUACCGCAUACCCAUUGCUUUCCCUAAAGUGCUAGAUCUAAGCAACAAUACAUUCACUGGUGAGAUCCCCAUGGAGAUCGGUCACUUGAAAGCCCUCUUUUCUCUCAAUUUCAGUUUCAACGGCUUGACAGGAUGGAUCCCACAAACAGUAUGCAAUCUCACAAACCUGCAGGUGCUCGACUUGUCCAACAAUGAUCUCACAGCUCCAACACCUCUUAUCUCCAAAAAUCAUCGGGAUAAGAAGGAGACUCUUCCAAUUACAUUUGGUGUGUUCUUUGGGGGCAUCGCUGUUCUUCUGUUGCUGGGACGUCUCCUUGUGUUAAUCAGGAUGAAGAGCUUGACAACAAAAAAUGGAAGGGAGAGUAACGGAGAUGUUGAAGCAACUUCAAUCCACUCAAGUUCAGAGCAAACGUUGGUGGUUAUGUGGAUGCCACAAGGCAAGGAAGAAGAAAACAAGCUCAAAUUCACUGAUAUUCUGAAAGCUACAAACAACUUUGACAAGGAGAACAUCAUUGGAUGUGGAGGCUAUGGAUUAGUCUACAAGGCAGAGCUACCUGAUGGCACCAAGCUGGCAAUCAAAAAGCUCAGCGGUGAAAUGUGUCUGAUGGAAAGGGAGUUCAGUGCAGAGGUUGAUGCACUCUCCAUGGCACAACAUGAAAAUAUUGUACCUCUGUGGGGUUACUGCGUCCAUGGAAAUUCAAGGCUCCUCAUAUAUUCCUACAUGGAGAAUGGCAGCCUGGAUGAUUGGCUUCAUAACAGGGAUGAUGACGAUAGCUUAUUUCUUCACUGGCCAACUCGGCUCAAGAUCGCACAAGGAGCAAGCCUGGGCCUUUCAUAUAUCCAUGAUGUCUGCAAACCUCAAAUUGUCCACCGUGACAUCAAAUCCAGUAACAUCCUGCUGGACAAAGAAUUCAAAGCUUAUGUUGCAGAUUUUGGGCUAGCCAGAUUGAUCCUUCCCAAUAAAACUCAUGUUACUACUGAGUUGGUUGGCACUAUGGGUUACAUUCCCCCUGAGUAUGGGCAGGCAUGGGUUGCUACGUUGAGAGGUGAUAUAUACAGUUUUGGGGUAGUCCUCCUUGAGCUGCUCACAGGAAGGCGACCUAUUCCUGUUCUGUCUACAUCAAAAGAACUUGUCCCAUGGGUUCUACAGAUGAGGUCUGAGGGUAAGCAGACUGAGGUAUUUGAUCCAACACUUCAAGGAGCAGGGUAUGAAGAGCAAAUGCUGAAGGUGCUUGAAACUGCUUGCAAGUGUGUCGAUAACAAUCAAGUCAGGAGGCCAGAUAUCACAGAAGUAGUCUCCUGCCUGGCCAGUAUAGAAGCUGUCAGCCACGUUGGAUGA